UCUCUCCCGAUGCCCUUCGCUUUAACUUCCCUUUCCCUCCGUUGCUCCUCUGCAGAUCGCCCCCUCCCCUCUCCUUGACCGAUGCCCUUCCCUCCCCAAUCCCCACCACCGCCACCCACGCCCCCGCAGCUCGCACUGCUCCCUGACGGCCGGCGCAUGGAGGAAGGCGGGGCGAGCUCCGGGCCUCGGCCCCCUAAGCGUCCAUCCAGCGGUGGUGGCAGUGGCGGUGGCGGUGGCGGUGGCACCUCCAAGCCUCCCUCGUCUUCCCCUCCCCGAUGCCACAGUGGCGGCUGGCGCCAGCGAUAGGGGGUUCGCCGGCGCAAGAUCCAGCCGUGGUGGGUCAAUGCAUGGCCGCUGCAGACCCAGAUCCAUGGUCGCCGAGCCACGGGCGCAGCAACGGCACCUCCAUGGCCGUCGGUGGGGACAUCAUCGACCUCAGAUCCACGUGCUAAUGUGGUGAACCAACGCCUGUACUGCAAGCCGACGACGAGCAGGCGGCUGGGACAACAUCGCUGCGAAUGCCCCUCACUCUCCUCUGCCUCAUUUGCCUCUCGACGGCAGCCAUGCCCAGCACCCGCUACGCCUCCUCCGCCAAGCUGGUCCGUGCCUCCCCCAUCAAAGUCAAACCCAGGUUGAGUUCAGUACUUAAUACCCUGUAAUUUGUUCACCUUGUUGUACCUAAAUGUGGGCGACAUGUUGGGCGCACUGCGGUAGGAGGACCAGGCGCUUAUGGAUCCAGGCAUCCAGCCACGACGCUACUCCCUGUGAGUGCCUCAAUGCCGUCAUGCUGCUUCGAUUUGUGCACUCUGUAUCAAGCUCGUCCCCAACCUUGUGCUCCUCCCGACGCUUGUGCUCCUGUGGCUGCAGCAAGGGUAUUUGAACUUACUGAAUGGAUCAAUCGGACAUGGAUGCCUUCCAUGAUCAACACAAAGAUAGUCUGCAUCAAUAUCAAACAAUGUUUCUUGGAUCCUACAUAAGAUAGAUGUAGUUGUGUUGUUGACCCAACACUAGCUAGCUAGCUACCUAUGAACUAUUUUCAAUUCUGAAAUUGUACUGCAAUUUGGCACUUGGCAUUUUAUUACCUACUCAUUAGCAGAGUUAAUGUUGGAUUCGUUUCAGUUUCAUGGUGAUUUCAAACGUGAUUUUGGCAACUAUUUUCUAUUUCAA